rnacentral:rRNA from 1 species
UACAGAGGGUGCGAGCGUUAAUCGGAAUUACUGGGCGUAAAGCGCGCGUAGACGGUUUUGUAAGUCAGAUGUGAAAUCCCUGGGCUCAACCUGGGAACUGCAUUUGAGACUGCAUGGCUAGAGUAUGGAAGAGGGAAGUGGAAUUUCCGGUGUAGCGGUGAAAUGCGUAGAUAUCGGAAGGAACACCAGUGGCGAAAGCGACUUCCUGGUCCAAUACUGACGUUCAUGUGCGAAAGCGUGGGGAGCAAACAG